GAUGAAAGAUGGCGGCGGGCCGAAUACAUGCAAGUCGAGCGAACAGACGAGGAGCUUGCUCCUCUGACGUUAGCGGCGGACGGGUGAGUAACACGUGGAUAACCUACCUAUAAGACUGGGAUAACUUCGGGAAACCGGAGCUAAUACCGGAUAAUAUAUUGAACCGCAUGGUUCAAUAGUGAAAGACGGUUUUGCUGUCACUUAUAGAUGGAUCCGCGCCGCAUUAGCUAGUUGGUAAGGUAACGGCUUACCAAGGCGACGAUGCGUAGCCGACCUGAGAGGGUGAUCGGCCACACUGGAACUGAGACACGGUCCAGACUCCUACGGGAGGCAGCAGUAGGGAAUCUUCCGCAAUGGGCGAAAGCCUGACGGAGCAACGCCGCGUGAGUGAUGAAGGUCUUCGGAUCGUAAAACUCUGUUAUUAGGGAAGAACAAAUGUGUAAGUAACUAUGCACGUCUUGACGGUACCUAAUCAGAAAGCCACGGCUAACUACGUG
rnacentral:rRNA from 1 species